GAGAAGUUGUAGAUUCCAUGUUCUGUGUUAUCGUUGUCUUGUCUCUCCGGCGCACAACUUCCAGUUCCCGCAACUCACAGGAAGUGACUACUUCAGAAUAAUUUUUAACAGAAACAUUUUUUAUAAAAAUGUAUCACUGGACUCAUAGAUUAUCUCUUUCUACUAUAAGUGUACACAAACAUGAGUCCCAAAUACAGGAAAACAAAUAGAAAACAAUACAACAACCUCAGACACGCUUCUGGUGUUGUCAUGGCAACCCACACAAACAUUUUAUCAUCAGCUACAUUCAGUAUGGUCACUUGUUAUUGUUAGCCCCUUCCCAAUAUUGUGGAAAACAUCUUAUUUUACUGUCACUGUAUAUCAUUCAUAAAGCACUGUCAUUAUUUCAUUAUUACUUCAUUAGUCCGCAUCAGCUUAUCAUCAAUAUUAUCAUGUAUCACAAUACUCUAUCAGUUAGUAGAGCACCAGUUUAGCUGGGGUCCGCAUCAGCUUAUCAUCAAUAUUAUCAUGUAUCACAAUACUCUAUCAGUUAGUAGAGCACCAGUUUAGCUGGGGGUCCAGUCAGCCCGCAGUAAAGUCAUAUGAGGACACGGUGAACUUUUGUUGGCCGGAAACGGACACUCUCACACAACUACACAUUCUACACACUAUUGGUUAUGUUCCCAGAAUACAGAGGAGUGGAAACAUCUGGAACAUGUUGUUGUUCUUAGCCAUACAAGGACAUAGAAGGGUGAACUGACUGAUACUUAUCAGGUGACUUGACGUCAUCAUUGCAAUAAAAACCUUGUGUUAGGGUUGUUCUUGG
ensembl:lncRNA